rnacentral:rRNA from 1 species
ACUGCUCAGUAACACGUGGAUAACCUGCCCUUGGGUCCGGCAUAACCCCGGGAAACUGGGGAUAAUUCCGGAUAACGCACAUAUGCUGGAAUGCUUUAUGCGUAAAAUGGAUUCGUCUGCCCAAGGAUGGGUCUGCGGCCUAUCAGGUAGUAGUGGGUGUAAUGUACCUACUAGCCAACAACGGGUACGGGUUGUGAGAGCAAGAGCCCGGAGAUGGAUUCUGAGACAUGAAUCCAGGCCCUACGGGGCGCAGCAGGCGCGAAAACUUUACAAUGCGGGAAACCGUGAUAAGGGGACACCGAGUGCCAGCAUCAUAUGCUGGCUGUCCGGGUGUGUAAAAUACACCCGUUAGCAAGGGCCGGGCAAGACCGGUGCCAGCCGCCGCGGUAACACCGGCGGCCCGAGUGGUGAUCGCGAUUAUUGGGUCUAAAGGGUCCGUAGCCGGUUUGGUCAGUCCUCCGGGAAAUCUGACGGCUCAACCGUUAGGCUUUCGGGGGAUACUGCCAGGCUUGGAACCGGGAGAGGUAAGAGGUACUACAGGGGUAGGAGUGAAAUCUUGUAAUCCCUGUGAGACCACCUGUGGCGAAGGCGUCUUACCAGAACGGGUUCGACGGUGAGGGACGAAAGCUGGGGGCACGAACCGGAUUAGAUACCCGGGUAGUCCCAGCCGUAAACGAUGCUCGCUAGGUGUCAGGCAUGGCGCGACCGUGUCUGGUGCCGCAGGGAAGCCGUGAAGCGAGCCACCUGGGAAGUACGGCCGCAAGGCUGAAACUUAAAGGAAUUGGCGGGGGAGCACA